rnacentral:rRNA from 1 species
AACGUAGGUGGCGAGCGUUAUCCGGAUUUACUGGGCGUAAAGCGUGUGCAGGCGGGUGGACAAGUGGUGUGUGAAAUCGCUCGGCUAAACCGAGCGGGGUUAUGCCAGACUGUUCAUCUGGAGUGCGAGAGAGGGGCGUGGAAUUCCGGGUGUAGUGGUGAAAUGCGUAGAGAUCGGCAGGAACACCCAGGGGGAAACCAGCCGACUGGGCAUCUGCUGACGCUGAGGUGCGAGAGCGUGGGGAGCGAACCGG